UCUGCCGCUUUUACGAGUGGCUGGUCUUAAAUGUAUUAGCUGGCCUUUGUGAGUCUUGGUUCUACUCGGCGUGAUAAUUAUCUAACGUUGAGGACAGUCUUCGGAUUGGCCAAAGUCUUCAAAGACCGCUUCUAAUCGUCUUUGGACAAUAUAUUUCUACAUCUGACCUCGAAUCAGGCGGGACUACCCGCUGAACUUAA
rnacentral:misc_RNA from 1 species